CGGAGUGUCCCGGCCUGCCUGGACUCCAGCCGGGACCUCCCACAUGAGGCUCAUUCAUCUAUGCCCAGGAUUCUCAAAGAACCCCGGCCCCAGCCUGCUCUCUGUCAUGUGCUGAGCCCCAAGCUUACCCAUGCCUCCUGCCGUGGGGACCAGAGAAUGAGAAGACCACCAGGGAGACCCGCCCUGGAGACCAUGGUGUGCUGCUGACUCACGAGAAUGACAUCACCAAGUGUGCCCUCUGUCCUGUCACUUGGAGCUCCUGGAAGCACAGAAUGUCCCUCAGCCUGGACACUGCCCCUGGCCUGGGGAGGAGCCAUUUGACAAGCUCUUGUUGAACAAAUGCUACACAUGAACACAUGGGCUGUGUCCUGAAGCUGGAUGUGCAGUCUUGAAGGAAUCCUACGCUUCAUGAAUGAGGAUUUGACAUCUGGCAGAGGUCUUUAUGAACACAUUUAUGAUCAUCCUUCAAAGCAACCACAUGAAAUGGGCCAGGGGCUUGUUCUCUUUUAGCAGACAGACGGGUUGAGUCACCACAAGAUGCUGUUAUGGUUUAAAUGUGUGGAGCUAUAUAUAUACAUACACACAUACACAUGUAUAUAUCAAUCAAGCUAUACUUAUCCCCAAUAACAGAGAGGAAAAAUAUAUUAUUAGAAUAAGAGCCGCAUAUUUUGGAAAACUUACCAUG
rnacentral:lncRNA from 1 species